rnacentral:tRNA from 1 species
GGAGAGGUGGCUCAAUGGUUAGGAGCACUGGCUGCUCUUCCUGAGGACCCAGGUUCAAUUCCUGGCUACCA